CGACGUAGGGGGCGAGCGUUGUCCGGAAUUACUGGGCGUAAAGAGCACGUAGGCGGGGGUUUAAGUCAGGUGUGAAAGACCGCAGCUUGACUGCGGGGUUGCACUUGAAACUGGGCAUCUUGAGGGCAGGAGAGGACAGUAGAAUUCCUGGUGUAGCGGUGAAAUGCGUAGAAAUCAGGAGGAAUACCAGUGGCGAAGGCGACUGUCUGGACUGACCCUGACGCUGAGGUGCGAAAGCGUGGGUAGCAAACAGGAUUAGAUACCCUGGUAGUCCACGCUGUAAACGAUGGAUACUAGGUGUAGGAGGUAUCGACCCCUUCUGUGCCGCAGCUAACGCAAUAAGUAUCCCGCCUGGGGAGUACGGUCGCAAGGCUGAAACUUAAAUGAAUUGGCGGGG
rnacentral:rRNA from 1 species